AUGGCUCAGAUUGAACGCUGGCGGCGUAGCCUAACACAUGCAAGUCGCGCGUGAAAGGACUUCGGUCCGAGUAAAGCGGCGCACGGGUGAGUAACGCGUGGAUGAUCUACCCAUGAGUUAGGAAUAACGGCUGGAAACGGUCGCUAAUACCAAAUACGCUCCGAUUUCAUCUUCGGGGGAAAGGUGGCCUCUGCUUGCAAGCUACUGCUCAUGGAUGAGUCCGCGUCCCAUUAGCUAGUUGGUGGGGUAACGGCCCACCAAGGCGACGAUGGGUAGCCGGUCUGAGAGGAUGACCGGCCACACUGGGACUGGAACACGGCCCAGACUCCUACGGGAGGCAGCAGUGGGGAAUAUUGCGCAAUGGGCGAAAGCCUGACGCAGCGACGCCGCGUGAAGGGGAUGAAGGUCCUCGGAUCGUAAACCUCUGUCAGGAGGGAAGAACCGCCACGGUGCUAAUCAGCCGUGGUCUGACGGUACCUCCAAAGGAAGCACCGGCUAACUCCGUGCCAGCAGCGGC
rnacentral:rRNA from 1 species